rnacentral:rRNA from 1 species
UACAGAGGUCCCCAAGCGUUUGUUCGGAUUCACUGGGCGUAAAGGGUGCGUAGGCGGUCGGGUAAGUCUGAUGUGAAAUCUCCAAGCCUAACUUGGAAACUGCAUUGGAUACUAUCCGGCUAGAGGAAUGGAGGGGAGACUGGAAUACUUGGUGUAGCAGUGAAAUGCGUAGAUAUCAAGUGGAACACCAGUGGCGAAAGGCGAGUCUCUGGACAUUUUCCUGACGCUGAGGCACGAAAGCCAGGGGGAGCAAACGGG